AUGUUUCUGAUUCCUGUGAUACUACUUUUACAACUAGGAUUCCAAGAUGCUAUGAGUGCUGGAAUCCAGCGUGAGAUUCAGAAUGCAAGACUCCAACAGCCGUUUACUUUAAACUGUACCUACAACUGUUCCAGUGGCUUCACUCGUGGUACAUGGACAUGGGAAGCCACUCCAGCUUGUAGCAAGUGCCACUGGGAUCAAAAAAAUUCUAAGUUAGGAGACGUGUGCACUGUGAGCUUGCACAUACCUCAUCUAAUUAUGGAGCAAACACGUUAUAACUAUUCAUGCUUUUCUGAAGAGAGUGACCGCCCGGGCCUUCCUCGUAAAUUGGAGCUUCUGGUAACACUGCAAGUUCAUGCUGAAUCUGAAGGACAAGUAACACCUCCAGAAGCCGAUCCAUCUCUGAGAGUAAAGUUAUAUAGGGGUCAGACAGAUUCAGAUGAGGUGUUUACAUCAUUUUCCACCAUUGAAGUGAUGGCAGGAACCUCAGCCAAACUUCACUGUUUCGCCCCUGACAACAAUCACUGUGAGGUGCAGUGGGUCAGAGAAAACAGUACCCUCCCCUUGACCAAAAUAAGUGACACCAUAGUACAGUGGAGUGAAAUCAAAGCAGAGGAUAGUGGACGAUACAGGUGCCACACCAAAGGGACCUGCACUGACCAGGCUAUCACUGUGGAAAUAGAGGUCAUCACAUCGGAUGGAUUCGCCUGGGCCAAGGUCUUUGCAGCUUUUGCGGUGUCUGCAGUAGUUAUCCUGACAGCCCAUCUGGUGUAUUUGUGCUACAGAAAAGGAUGUAAGAUCAUGGAUUCUGCAAACAUAGCCCAUGAAAGGGUUACAUCCAGAAGUGCUGUGGCGAUAAAGCCAAUCGCUCAAGACAGCCAGAGUGAUCAUGAAGUCCCUUAUGCUGAUAUUGUGAUCUCCGUGAGAGGAUCCAGCAAUCCGGAUCUACCUGACACCUUUAACCAGACUUCAAAAAAUCAAAGACCAAGAUGGAGGGAUGAGGCCAGAGCAGGGCUACUGCACGCUUCAGCUGACAGACUGCACAUCCACUCUAAAGAGGUCACUAGGAAAUUAAGCACAACGUCUGAAUAUGCUGUAAUUACCUAUUCCUGUGAGGCUCUUAGUUAGUUACUUCAAAAAAACUGCAUAUCUGAUUAAAAUAAAUAAAUAAAUAAAUAAAUAAAUAAAUAAAUA
ensembl:lncRNA